rnacentral:rRNA from 1 species
UACAGAGGUCCCGAGCGUUGUUCGGAUUCACUGGGCGUAAAGGGUGCGCAGGUGGGUUUGCAAGUUUGAUGUGAAAGCCCCGGGCUUAACCCGGGAAUGGCAUUGAAUACUGCAGAUCUGGAGGAUUGGAGGGGGGACUGGAAUUCUUGGUGUAGCAGUGAAAUGCGUAGAUAUCAAGAGGAACACCAGUGGCGAAGGCGAGUCCCUGGACAGUACCUGACACUGAGGCACGAAAGCCAAGGGAGCAAACAGG